CACGGAGUUAGCCGGGGCUUCCUUUAGCGGUACCGUCAGGCUUCGGCGAUGUUUACGCCGUAGCUAUUCUUCCCGCUCGACAGGAGUUUACGAUCCGAAAAUCUUCAUCCUCCACGCGGCGUUGCGUCGUCAGGCUUGCGCCCAUUGCGAACAAUUCCCCA
rnacentral:rRNA from 1 species